UUUUUAAACUUUAUUUUGCAU
rnacentral:piRNA from 1 species